rnacentral:rRNA from 1 species
CGCUGGCGGCGUGCUUAACACAUGCAAGUCGAACGAGACGAUUUUAAGCUUGCUUAGAUGAGUCGAGUGGCAAACGGGUGAGUAACGCGUAGACAACCUGCCGCAAAGGAUGGGGACAACAGUCCGAAAGGACUGCUAAUACCGAAUGCUGUCAGAUUCCCGCAUGGGAGACUGAUUUAAAGAUGGCCUCUACUUGUAAGCUAUCGCUUUUGCGAUGGGUCUGCGUCUGAUUAGCUAGUUGGUGGGGUAACGGCCUACCAAGGCGACGAUCAGUAGCCGGUCUGAGAGGAUGAACGGCCACAUUGGAACUGAGACACGGUCCAGACUCCUACGGGAGGCAGCAGUGGGGAAUCUUCCGCAAUGGGCGAAAGCCUGACGGAGCAACGCCGCGUGAGUGAAAAGAAGGGUUUCGGCUCGUAAAGCUCUGUUGACGGGGACGAACGUGCGAGAUGCGAAUAGUUUCUUGCAAUGACGGUACCCGUCGAGGAAGCCACGGCUAACUACGUGCCAGCAGCCGC